rnacentral:rRNA from 1 species
UCCAGACUCCUACGGGAGGCAGCAGUGGGGGAUAUUGCACAAUGGGGGGAACCCUGAUGCAGCGACGCCGCGUGGGUGAAGGAGCGUUUCGGCGCGUAAAGCCCUAUCGGCAGGGAAGAAGGAGGACGGUACCUGACUAAGAAGCCCCGGCUAACUACGUGCCAGCAGCCGCGGUAAUACGUAGGGGGCAAGCGUUAUCCGGAUUUACUGGGUGUAAAGGGGGCGCAGACGGCAGCGCAAGCCAGGAGUGAAAGCCCGGGGCCCAACCCCGGGACUGCUCUUGGAACUGCGCGGCUGGAGUGCAGGAGGGGCAGGCGGAAUUCCUGGUGUAGCGGUGAAAUGCGUAGAUAUCAGGAGGAACACCGGUGGCGAAGGCGGCCUGCUGGACUGCGACUGACGUUGAGGCCCGAAAGCGUGGGGAGCAAACAGGAUUAGAUACCCUCGUAGUG